CAGUGCUGGUGUCAGAAGAGGAACCGAAGGAGGCCCCCGAGAGCCCCCGGGAGCAACAAGCAACCAGGAUACGACCCGCUGGGAUACCCCACUCACUCUGGAGCCUCUAGACAGCAUCCCGGGAAGACAGCAAAGGCUGGCCUCUCACUCUCUUCCCAACAAUGUCUGGGUUUCCCUCAAAGCUACCAAGUGCUAAUUUGAAAAAUAUGUUACCAACAAGUGGGAGAAAAGCAGGCAUCCUAUGUGAAAUGCCCUCUAGGGCGUGGAGGAACUCCCAGAGAGAGAGAGAGAGCGCGCGCACGCGCACGCCCAUGCGCCAGGGCUGCGUGCUCUCUGAGCAGCAGGAAGAAAUGGGAGCGACUAAGACAGAAGCUCACUUAUAGCUUGGUGACAUCUUGGGCGGCUGGAUGAAACCCUCCGUUGCAUUUAAGGUGCUGUGAACCUGGCGGGAAGGAAGAGACAUGUAGAGCAGUUAUCACAACACAGUAUGGUCUGUGCCAUCGUCUUAAAGGUGGGCUGUCAGUGCUGGGCCUAGGAGGCUCCCUCCUAACCCCUGACUGCAAAAGAGCUCAGCUUGGUGCAGAAGACAAUAUACACCUCUAAGCCUUGGCGUCUUUCUCCCUCUGGUCUGACGGUGCUCAGUCCUGGCGAAAGGUGAAGAACUAGAGACAUAGAGGAUUGAAGAAGAGCAAGUCAUGACCCAAAUCAAGUCUGAAACCUCUUUCUGUUGAUUGCCUUACCUGUCAGUAACUCAAUAAGCAACAUUGCCUCUUUCAACAAUCAAUGAACAGAAAUGCUAUGAGGAAACAAAUUGAGAGAAAUCUUCAUUCUUGAAUACAAGCAGGAAACAAUGCCCAUACCUCUGUGUACUCACUUCUCUACACUUGGCUCAGUCAGCUCCACGCACACUGAAAUUAAGGUAGGCAGAUGUCAAUCUUGCUGAUUUUCAAAUAAUGAAUCAUGAACACAGGAGGCUGGAACCAUCACCAUGAACACUGCUUGGGUACAGAGUUAAAGAGGAAUGUUGCAGAAAGAUGAAUGAGAGUCUUCACCCCAGAGGCAAUACAGUUAUGGACAAAUUCUUUUUUGAAAAUUGUAUUGGCUUGUUUGUUUAGAUCCUAUCU